UGACUACAUUCGAACAUUCUCUUGAUUCGUAAUUACAAUUAAAUUACUGUAGUUUUUAAGGCCAAAACUAACUAAGAUUUGUCUAUAUUGAUUUAUACAUUAUUAAUUAAUUAUUACUUUCUAUCCUUUUGAGCGGAAUCACAGACGAAAAAAGAAACAAAGAAACCUCCAAGAGUAGUCAACAGUUUUGAAUGAAGAACAGCCAAACAAGGAAUCUUCAGAUAGAGCCAAAGUCUUAGGGCGUAAAAUCCUCGACGAGUGAAAUAUUUAUGAAGUGUGAAAAUGCAGAGAAAGAGGAAGCGGCAUGCGGCAAAUGGAGACAAAAUGAGGCUGUGGCAAAAAAAAAACGAAACUUUUUCAAUUAUAAACGCUUUGAGAGAUAAGCAAAGACAGCAGCAACAGCAACAAGGACAACAAAAU